UACAGAGGUCCCAAGCGUUGUUCGGAUUCACUGGGCGUAAAGGGUGCGUAGGCGGUUGGGUAAGUCUGACGUGAAAUCUUCAAGCUUAACUUGGAAACUGCGUCGGAUACUAUUCGGCUAGAGGAAUGGAGGGGAGACUGGAAUACUUGGUGUAGCAGUGAAAUGCGUAGAUAUCAAGUGGAACACCAGUGGCGAAGGCGAGUCUCUGGGCAAUAACUGACGCUGAGGAGCGAAAGCGUGGGGAGCGAACAGG
rnacentral:rRNA from 1 species